UACGUAGGGUGCGAGCGUUGUCCGGAAUUAUUGGGCGUAAAGAGCUCGUAGGUGGUUUGUCGCGUUGUCCGUGAAAACUCACAACUCAAUUGUGGGCGUGCGGGCGAUACGGGCAGACUGGAGUACUGCAGGGGAGACUGGAAUUCCUGGUGUAGGCGGUGAAAUGCGCAGAUAUCAGGGGGAACACCGGUGGCGAAGGCGGGUCACUGGGCCGUAACUGACGCUGAGGAGCGAAAGCGUGGGGAGCAAACGGG
rnacentral:rRNA from 1 species